GACGAACGCUGGCGGCGUGCUUAACACAUGCAAGUCGAACGGAAGGGCCCUGCUUUUGUGGGGUGCUCGGGUGGCGAACGGGUGAGUAACACGUGAGUAACCUGCCCUUGACUUUGGGAUAACUUCAGGAAACUGGGGCUAAUACCGGAUAGGAGCUCCUGCUGCAUGGUGGGGGUUGGAAAGUUUCGGCGGUUGGGGAUGGACUCGCGGCUUAUCAGCUUGUUGGUGGGGUAGUGGCUUACCAAGGCUUUGACGGGUAGCCGGCCUGAGAGGGUGACCGGCCACAUUGGGACUGAGAUACGGCCCAGACUCCUACGGGAGGCAGCAGUGGGGAAUAUUGCACAAUGGGCGGAAGCCUGAUGCAGCAACGCCGCGUGCGGGAUGACGGCCUUCGGGUUGUAAACCGCUUUCGCCUGUGACGAAGCGUGAGUGACGGUAAUGGGUAAAGAAGCACCGGCUAACUACGUG
rnacentral:rRNA from 1 species